rnacentral:rRNA from 1 species
UACGGAGGAUGCAAGCGUUAUCCGGAAUGAUUGGGCGUAAAGCGUCCGCAGGUGGCAAUGUAAGUCUGCUGUCAAAGCGUCUGGCUCAACCAGAUAAAGGCAGCGGAAACUACAUAGCUAGAGUAAGGUAGGGGUAGAGGGAAUUCCUGGUGUAGCGGUGAAAUGCGUAGAGAUCAGGAAGAACACCGGUGGCGAAAGCGCUCUGCUGGACCUAAACUGACACUGAGGGACGAAAGCUAGGGGAGCGAAUGGG